rnacentral:lncRNA from 1 species
AGAUGAAUAGAAUGAGCAAAAGUUGCAGCACAGCGUGUCACCAGAGAGGAAAAGAAUAUCCUUGCUGUGCCAAGAAAGAAAAGACCAUGGAUCUACUAGUUGCAGAUUUCAGCAGUAAUGCCAAGGGGGCAAGAAGUGACCAGCAGAACAAUUAGGCCAUGGCAACAGAAGCCAACUACAACCCAUGUUCCAAUCUAUGACCUCCCUCUCCUGCUGGUACAAGGAUAUGUAUUCCUUAGAGCAAAGGAUGCAAUGUCAAGCAAGUUGUGAUACCUCAACUAUCUACAAUUUAACACCAAGGAAAGAACACUGUUUGGAGAAAUGAGAAAGAUUAUCAUCAGUGUCUUUCAGAAGUCAUCAAAAGAAGAAAAGGAGAAAAGAGAGGAGAAAGCAGAAAGGUAUAGGAAAUUACCAGUUGAAGUAUGAAAAUUGAAGAGCAAGGAAAAAAGUAUUCAAAUGUUCAUAUUGAGGUUCAUAUACGAUUAAGAAGGAGAAGUGUAACUUAGAAAGAAAUUUUGUAAAAAGGAACAUUUAAAAGGAUUAUAAAAUGCUUAUGUAAAAGUAUUUGGAAGAAAGUCUCAGCCACCAGUCAUUUAUUCUAAAGUAGGAGAAGGAAGCUUGUAUAUCUGUAUUGCAAAAAUCUUUAUGGUAAAAAGUGCCUCCAGGCACUUCAUAAAUCGGAAAUGGGUAAAA